rnacentral:tRNA from 1 species
UGUAGCUCAGUGUUAGAGUGUUUACCUAGCAUGUGAAAUGUUCUGGGUUCAAUCCCCAGCA